AACGAACGCUGGCGGCAUGCCUAACACAUGCAAGUCGAACGAGCCCUUCGGGGUUAGUGGCGCACGGGUGCGUAACACGUGGGAAUCUGCCCUUCGGUUCGGAAUAACAGAGAGAAAUUUCUGCUAAUACCGGAUGAUGACGAAAGUCCAAAGAUUUAUCGCCGAAGGAUGAGCCCGCGUAGGAUUAGGUAGUUGGUGGGGUAAUGGCCUACCAAGCCGACGAUCCUUAGCUGGUCUGAGAGGAUGAUCAGCCACACUGGGACUGAGACACGGCCCAGACUCCUACGGGAGGCAGCAGUGGGGAAUAUUGGACAAUGGGCGCAAGCCCGAUCCAGCAAUGCCGCGUGAGUGAUGAAGGCCUUAGGGUUGUAAAGCUCUUUUACCCGGGAUGAUAAUGACAGUACCGGGAGAAUAAGCUCCGGCUAACUCCGUGCCAGCCGCCGCAGUAA
rnacentral:rRNA from 1 species